rnacentral:rRNA from 1 species
GGGGAAUUUUGGACAAUGGGGGCAACCCUGAUCCAGCCAUGCCGCGUGCGGGAAGAAGGCCUUCGGGUUGUAAACCGCUUUUAGUCGGGAAGAAAAGAUCACGGAUAACACCUAUGGUUCUUGACGGUACCGGCGGAAUAAGCACCGGCUAACUACGUGCCAGCAGCCGCGGUAAUACGUAGGGUGCGAGCGUUAAUCGGAAUUACUGGGCGUAAAGCGUGCGCAGGCGGUUCGUUAAGUUCGAUGUGAAAGCCCCGGGCUCAACCUGGGAACUGCAUUGGAAACUGGCGAGCUUGAGUGUGGCAGAGGGGGGUGGAAUUCCGCGUGUAGCAGUGAAAUGCGUAGAGAUGCGGAGGAACACCGAUGGCGAAGGCAGCCCCCUGGGCCAACACUGACGCUCAGGCACGAAAGCGUGGGGAGCAAAC